UGAGAAUGAACUCCCGAGUACACUGCUUGCAGCCCGUGACUGGAAUGUUAAUUUCGUCCUGCGUCCCCGGCUGGCUCCCUUCAACGGUACUGGGCUCUCGCAUUUCUGACAUUUUUCGUUUUGUAAAAAUGAAUACCUGCCUUAGAAAGCCUGAUGAACGCAGAGAUACUUUACAUGCAAACACACACACACACACACACACACACACACACACACACACACACAAAUGCUGUUCCCAUUUCCCCCUGUCUUUCAUCUGACAAAGCGGGUAGUGACUGCGAGCUCAGAAUUGGCUGGCGGAGGUGUCUGCUGGUGUGUGGGCUCCAUUUCUGGGGCUUUAUCAAGCCCUGUCUCCGAUUUUCCCAUUUCAGACAAUCUUCCUUUGAAGACGUGGAUGACAUAGUAAAACCGAUUGCACUUGAGAGCCGAUUCCAUGACUAUUUUGCUGCAACAGCGCAUUCUGCAAAUUUCAGCUGCUUCACUAGCUUCUCCUGUUUGUUGCUGAACCGAUUAUCCUGUUCUGCACUUGUUCCGCGGAAGAAUCCCGAGUCCCAUCUUCUGCCUCGCUCGGACCUGAUAUUUGUUCUUUAUUCUCCUAAAGCGGUUAAUGAAAAAUUCACUCCCAGAAGUGAACGACUUUUACCUAGUUUGGGGCCUGUGCUCCUGAUAGAAUAUGAGGAGGACUAGGGAGGCCUGAAACCAGAGGUGUUGACCAGCAAGCCUCACCAACAUAUGGCCAAUGGAUGAGUGCAAAAUGGCUUCCAAAAUAACACUGCACUGAAGUGGUAAGGAACGUGGGUGUACGGAGGAGACGGCAAAAACACAGGUGUUUAUUACAUCUGUACUUUAACAUUUUUUUACAAGAUACCUGUAUUUCUUGUGUAUACCUAAAUAAGAUGAGGCCUGGCCAUAUUAAAAUGCUCACUGUUUUUCUAUUCUGAUAGAUUUUUCAAAGCACAGCUUAUGUUUUGUUCAUCUUUAUGUUCUCUACAUAGACCACAAUUACUAACAAAUUGUAAUCAUUCACUGUAUUGGAGUCGAAAUAUCUCAUUUUUUAAAAUCCUUACUAAAAUUGGCCACAAGAUGUCCCCACAGCUCUAGAAGAUGCUUUCUAUGUGGCCCUAGACAGGCUUUUUUUCAGUUCAAUUGGUUUAGUUUGAGGACGGCUGGCCAGGUGAUGUUUAAUGAGAUUUUUGUUCCAAACCUGCUUUUAAAAUGUUACGCCUAUAAUUUAAUAUGCAUUAAAUGUUCAGAAUAGCAGACAGUUUCAAACCUGUGCUAAAGGCAUAUCUUCAAAUGCCAGCCCAAUGUUUAUCUUUUAAAGGUCCAUAUUAAACUAUGGUUUUCUUAAACUGUGGGACUCCUUUGCUGCCACCUUGAAUUCUGAAGUUAUCAGAAAAAUGUUACUACUGUAGGAUAGCAUUCACCUGCAAUAUUAUUCUCUGUAAAAGCUAAUUAAAAGUGAAGCAGAAUUAAAAUAUGUGCUAGCAAUGUUUACUGUGAGCUAUAAGAGGAAUACAAAUAUAUUUUAUUUCUAAAUAUGUGCUCUGGAGGAUGCCGAGCAAGUCUAUACAAGAAUCAAGGAGGCUUCUCUUGAUUUUAUCAAGCACAUCUUAAUUGUGGUUGCUCUGCACUACCAGUGAGAACCAGUUUUCUUCCUUACAGGUAUCUCACCUAUACCUGAAUCAUGACAGAUGGUCUACACUAGAUACUUUAUCGCCUCAAGGAUUCCUUAAGUGGAAGGUGUUCUGAAAAUAACUGCUAAACCUAACACAUACAUGAGUAGGAGAAAAACAGAUAUGCUAAAAGGACCAGGGUACUUCUAGAGGCAAACAGAUUUUAUGCACACAUAAAGUGGGAUCCAUCUUAUAAUCAGGAUUCUUAUUUUAGUUGGCAUAGAGGUUUUUUUUUAAAUUUGCUUUUGAUUUAGUUAUUGAUUAAAAGUGUCAUUAUGGAAAAUGUAGGUAACAUGCCAAGACUGAGUCUUUCUUUUGAAAGGAACGAGAUGGGAAAAUGAAAUAGUCUAAUUUUUAAAUUCGUUGACGGACAGUAUUAUGGAUUGAAGGUGUUCUUCCAAAAUUUGUAUGUUCAAGUCCUGAUGCCCCCAAAUCUCAGAAGGUGAUAUAUUUGGAAACAGAGUGGUUACACGUGUCAUUAGUUCAGAUGCAGUCAUAUUAGAGUCGGGUGGGCGCAGACUCCAAUGUGACCGGUGUUUUUAUAGAAAAGGAGGUGAUUUGGACACAGACACUCACACCGGGAGAAUGCCAUGUGAAGACGGGGGUUAUGCUGCCAAAAGCUCAGGAACAACAGAAGCUGGGAGAGCGGCCUGGAGCAGGUUCUUCUCCAGGGUCCUCAGAAGGAACCAAUCCUGCUGACACCUUGAUCUCAGACUUCUGGGCUCCAGAACCGUGAGACAAUAAAUUUGUGUUGUUUCAGUUGUCAACUGGCAGUGCCUUGUUACAGCAGCCCUGGCAGACGGACACGGGCAGUAAUCGCCUUAAGGACGUGAUUCAUGUUAAUAAGAAAUAUAAACAGUUUCUCUACUGAUUAUUUUUCUAAUUUUUUCUUUUCAUUGAUAUUUAUGCUCAUUAUCCUCAUUUGGUUUUUAGCCAUUAAAUGGUCAUGAUUUUAAUUUAAUAUUUCCCUGGGAAAUGUAUAUGAAAUGAUUUUCUCUAGAGUCCUAAGUAGAUUUGAGUCCAACCUCACUAAAUUAUGGAAUUGUGGAAUGAUCCAGGGUAUCUCAUUUUAUUAUAGAUGAGAGACUUAAGGUAGAGAGGUUUAGGGGCAAAGCUGACAUCUGGCAGUUUUCUGUCCCCAUGGAGAUAAAGUGGAAACUUUAUUAUCUCUUCCAUUUUGACUGAUUGCCUUAUAAUUGAAGGUUAAAGAUGGAGUUUUCUAUUCAUGGGGGAAACAGACAUAUUCUGGGUACUCUUGAAAUGUGGGUGGACUAUAAACUGCGAUGACGAGCAGAAUACAGAUGAAGUAAGACCUAAAAUCUUGAAAUUAAACUUUUAUUAGUGAAUCAAUGAGAAGCAGGUGGGAUUCCUUACUAUCUAUUCUCCUUGUAAUUGGUGUCUUUUUCCCAAUUAAGGACAAAUUUAACUCUCUUUUGGUCAAGUUACAGCUCAUCUCUUGAGUCUUCCCUUCCACAAAUGUAUAUGCAUUUCUUCCUCCUCCAUCUCUGUUGCCACCUCCUCUUUGCUCCAUGAGAUAUGACAUUUCUGGGAUGGGCUGAAUUGUAUUCCUCAAAAAUUGAGAUGUUGAAAUCUGAACCUCCAGGACCUCAGAAUAUGACUGUAUUUUGGAGCCAGGGUCUUGAAUAAGUUAAUUAUGUUGAAAUGAGAUCACUAGGUUGGGUCCUGACCCGAUAGAAAUGACAAGAGGAGAUGAGGGCAUGGACACACACAGGCGGAGGACCAUGUGAAGACACAGGGAGGAGAUGCCAUCUUAGCAGGCAAGGAGAGGGCCUCAGAGGGAAAUGACUCGGCCAACACCUCGACCUCAGAUUUCUUGCCUCCAGAACUGUGGGAAAAAAAGCUUUUGUUGUGUAAGCCACUUAGCCUAUGGUGCUUUGUUAGGGCAGUCCCGGCGAACAAAUACAACUUCUUGAAGGCAGAACCAACUUUUAACUGCCAUAUCAUUCCCUACCCAGGACAUAGCAUAUUUUAAACUGUUUUUAUUCCUGGGGUGCCAGGGUGGCUGAGUUAGUUAAGCAUCUGAGUCUUGAUAUCUCCUCAGGUCAUGAUCUCAGAGUCCUGAGAUUUAGCCCUGCCUUGGGCUCCAUGCUCAGGGGGAGAGUCUGCUUGGGAUUCUUUCUCUCCCUCUCUUUCUGCCCAUUCCCCACUCUCCGUGUGUGAAAUAAAUAAAUAAGUAAAUAAAAUAUUUUAAAAAAGGUUUUUGUUCUUGCCCUUAUGGACUUUAUCCUCUGUUCCAAGCAGUGGUCUACUAAACACAUACUUGUCGGUAGAGGGAAACCAUUAGAAAAAUAUGAGAUUAGAUACAAGUAUAUACAUAGGUACUUUAGUAUAGCAGAGUCUAUUAUUGGACCCUGUCUCCAGCUGACAUAUUUUAUGGCAGAAGUAACUGUUGUAUAUGCAAUGUUAUUUUGUCUUUUUUAGAGUCUAGAGCAAGGACUUGGAGUCCCAAGUUCUGAGCAUUAUCAGCUGAUCUCCUUCUAACAUGUAAUUAAUUAUGCCAUGCAAUUAAUUAAGGCACCUCUUAAUCAUAGGAAGUUUGUAAACCAACCCAUCAUCUUCUAGUCACAGGUGAUUGGUGUUAAUGGAAGCAUGUUAUUUAUCCUCAUAGGUCAUAUAUUCUUAUGAUUAUAGGAGCUUUCUAGAAGCCAAGCCUUAAUGCAAACGGAUUACUUUAAUUGUAAGAGUUUUAGUUGCUGUGGCGGAAUCAGGGAUAUACAGUUGUAUCCCAUUAAGCCUUUUAGAAUCUCUAAGCAUGGAGGUGUCUGCAAGGGACCAGACAUGGCAUCAUAACUUCCAAAACUCUGGCAAUGGCCUUAGGUUGUUGUAGGUGGAGUGGCCCUCCAAAGAUGUCCACAUCCUAAUCCUGAUCUGGGAGUAUGUUCCCUUAUGUGCCAAAAGAGACUUUGCAGAGGUGAUGGAGUUAAGGAUUUUGUGAUGGGGAAGUUAUCAUGGAUUAGCUGGGUGGACCUGGUAUAGUCAUAAGGGUCCCCAUUAGUGAAAGAGUGCAGGAGCAUCAGAGUGCAAGGAAAUGUGGCUGAUGGCCAAAGUUGAUGUCCAAGUGAUGUGGUCAUGAGCCAGGUGGCCUCUGGAAGCUGGAAAAGGCAAGGAGUGGAUUUUCCUGUCCAGCCCCCAGAGGGAAUGCAGUUCUGCUAACAUCUUGAUUUUACCUCUAUUUUGGACUUCUGGCCUCCAGAACUAUAAGAUAAUAAAGUUGUGUUGUUUUAGCUACUAUGGUGGUGAUAAAUUAUCACAGCAUGUACAGGGAACUUAUAUGGCUGUUCAGUGAUCUGGUUACUAAGUUGUAUGUCUGAAGUUACAGGACUCCUAAAACCUGAGAGGGGACAGCAUCUAGGAUCCCAGGCAGCCCCUCACCACCAGCCCAACCCUCAUACAGAAGACCCUGGGAAGACCUUGCACUUUCCAUCUGUGAAUGCUUCCAAAAAGCAUUUGACUAAUCCGAUCUAAUCAUCUGGGCUUUCUACUCAUCUAAUUUAAUUGGACCAGAUCACACUGGCCUGUUAUCUGCUUGAUCUGAUUACUCAACUAAAUUGAUUGAUUAAUUUGGUAAAUUAAUUCUUAAUGACACAUUAAAGUUUGUCAAUGCCUAAACAAAUUACUGUAUUUAGAAAAUUUUUUUUCAGGUUCUUUUUUUUUUU
rnacentral:lncRNA from 1 species